GGCUUGUGGCUCAGUGGUAGAGUGCUGGCCUUGCAAAUGUGAGGUACUGGGUUCAAUCCUCAGCACCA
rnacentral:tRNA from 1 species